CCUACGGGUGGCUGCAGUGGGGAAUUUUGGACAAUGGGGGCAACCCUGAUCCAGCCAUGCCGCGUGCGGGAAUAAGGCCUUCGGGUUGUAAACCGCUUUCGGCCGGAACGAAAUCGCCGGGGAGAACAUCCCCGGUGGAUGACGGUACCGGAAGAAGAAGCACCGGCUAACUACGUGCCAGCAGCCGCGGUAAUACGUAGGGUGCGAGCGGGGAUCGGAAUUAGUGGAGGCGAAGCGUUCACAGGCGGUUGAAAUCCCCGGGCUUAACCUGGGAACUGCGUUUGUGACUGGCGGGCUGGAGUGCGGAAGAGGGAGGUGGAAGUCCACGUGUAGCAGUGAAAUGCGUAGAGAUGUGGAGGAACACCGAUGGCGAAGGCAGCCUCCUGGUCUAGCACUGACGCUCAUGCACGAAAGCGUGGGGAGCAAACAGGAUUAGAUACCCCUGUAGUC
rnacentral:rRNA from 1 species